rnacentral:rRNA from 1 species
UACGUAGGGUCCGAGCGUUGUCCGGAAUUAUUGGGCGUAAAGAGCUCGUAGGCGGUCCGUUAAGUCGGAAGUGAAAUCUCAAGGCUCAACCUUGAAAUCGCUUUCGAUACUGGCGGACUUGAGGCAGGUAGGGGAAGGUGGAAUUCCUGGUGUAGCGGUGAAAUGCGUAGAUAUCUGGAGGAACACCGGUGGCGAAGGCGGCAUCCUGGACCAAUACUGACACUGAGGAGCGAAAGCCAGGGGAGCAAACGGG